UACGAAGGGUGCAAGCGUUACUCGGAAUUACUGGGCGUAAAGCGUGCGUAGGUGGUUUGUUAAGUCUGUUGUGAAAGCCCCGGGCUCAACCUGGGAAUGGCAAUGGAUACUGGCAAGCUAGAGUGCGGUAGAGAGUAGUGGAAUUCCCGGUGUAGCGGUGAAAUGCGUAGAGAUCGGAAAGAACACCAACGGCGAAAGCACUCUGCUGGGCCGACACUGACACUGAGAGACGAAAGCUAGGGGGAGCGAAUGGG
rnacentral:rRNA from 1 species